CGGCGAGUGAGCGGCAAGAGCUCAGAUUUGGAAUCGUGUUUCGGCACGAGUUGUAAAUUGCAGGUUGGAGUCUUUGUGGAAGCGUGUGUCCAAGUCCCUUGGAACAGGGCGCCAUUGAGGGUGAGAGCCCCGUGGGAUGCGCGCGGAAGCAACAAGGCCCUUCUGACGAGUCGAGUUGUUUGGGAAUGCAGCUCUAAGCGGGUGGUAAAUUCCAUCUAAGGCUAAAUACUGGCGAGAGACCGAUAGCGAACAAGUACUGUGAAGGAAAGAUGAAAAGCACUUUGAAAAGAGAGUGAAACAGCACGUGAAAUUGUUGAAAGGGAAGGGUAUUGGGCCCGACAUGGGGAUUGCGCAUCUCUGCUCCUUGUGGGCGGGGCGCUGUGCUUUUCCUGGGCCAGCAUCGGUUUUUGCCGCAGGAGAAGGGGUACUGGAAUGUGGCUCCUCGGAGUGUUAUAGCCAGUGCCAGAUGCUGCGUGCGGGGACCGAGGGCUGCGACAUCUGUCUCGGAUGCUGGCACAACGGCGCAAUACCGCCCGUCUU
rnacentral:rRNA from 1 species